GGGGAGAAAGAGACUGUGCAGGAGGUAAAGAGUGGAAAAGGGAGAGAGAUUAAGAACAAGAUAGAGACAGACAGACUAAUGAAGCAGCUGUUCAUAUCUAUACGGGAAAAUAAAGAACAAACUUCCCAGAAAAUUUUGCUUUACAUCAGUUUGAGAUCCGUUUAUCCAUGUAUCCUUUGGGUCAAUCUACUGUAUAUCAAAUCAGCUCAGUAUUUUCUUUUCACACAAAGUGUUUCGUAAGAAACAAAGCAACUCAGUUAUAACCCCAGGGGAGAUAGGAGAAAGAAAAAAAAGAAAGAAAAUUGAAAUCCUUGGCUUUCUUUGGUGUCCUGAAGUGUUAACACCAAGCCCUGGGUCAUAGGGCACCUCUUUUUUAAAAAUUUCAUUGGGCUAGAGUUGAUUUAUAGUGUUGUAUUAGCUUUAGGUUUACAGUAAAGGGAAUCAAUUAUACGUCUACAUAUAUCUAUUAUUUUUUCCCGUAGAGGGUAUUAGAGAACAUUGAAUAGGCUUCCAUGUGCUUUUCAGCAGGUCCUUGUUAAUUAUCUGUCCUCUAUACGGUAGUGUGCACGUGCCAACUCCAUCCUCCCAAUUUAUCCCUCACCCCUCGUUUUUCCCUUUUGUAGCCCUAAGUUUCACCUCAAAAUCUUUGAGUCUGUUUCUGUCCAACGAAAAAGUACCAUAUGAACCUGCAAUCCCACUCCUGGACACAUAUCCAGUGAAAAGCAUAGUUUGAAAAGAUAUAUGCACUCCAGUUUUCAUAGCAGCAUUGUUUACAAUAACCAAGACAUGGAAGCCAACCUCAGUGUCCAUAGACAGAGGAAUGGAUAAAGAAAAUGUGGUACAUAUAGGCAACGGAAUAUUACUCAGCCACCAAAAAGAACAAAAUAAUGUCAUUUGCAGCAGCAUGGAUGGACAUAAGGUUAUCUUACUAAGUGAAUUCCCAGGCUAGGGGUCGAAUUGGAGCUCAACUGCUGGCCUACACCACAGCCAUGGCAACGCCAGAUCCAAACCACAUCUGCAACCUACACCGCAGCUCAUGGCAGUGCUGGAUCCUUGACCCACUGAACGAGGUUAGGGGUCAAACCACGUCCUCAUGGAUACUAGUCGGGUUCAUUGCCACUGAGCCAUAAUGGGAACUCCUGGACUUGAGUAUUUAUUAUGUUGGAAUGUGUAUCAUUGACCAUUUUUGAGGUUGAGUGUGACAUGAUCCACGCUGGCUGGAAGGGCGCUGGCAUUAUGUGAAGGGGGUGUUGAUAAAGACAUAGGCUCUCCUGUAAAGUUAGGCCUGGAGUUGGAGGACUUCUCCCUUCUCUUUGAUACCAGUCAGCCAACUAGUCUGUAGACACUGCCCCACAAAGGAAGUUGGGCUAUUUUUACCAUUAACUUGAUUCAUUUCUUUAGCAUUAUAUAUACCUGUCAGGGUUAAACAUUUUUUUGUUGUAUGGUUGUGUCCUUGGCCUUAGCCAAUGGAGAGUGCUACUAAGUUUGGAAACUGAUUGCAAAGGGCGGAGAUUCUAAUGGGUUUAGAUAUUCAAGGCUAAAGGCAUUUCUAGAAAAUCCCAUUUUAGAAAAUAUAUGGAAUGGGUGGGUAGUGCCUAAGUGCAUCCCAUCUCCUAGGGCCUAAAAUUGCAAGUAGGGCCACUGUUAGAAGGACUUAACUGUGUUUCCAUAAAGUGGAAGAAAUAAAUGUUGAUCUAGAAAAAACUCUGGUUGGAGUGUAGAAGACAUGGGUGAAUAAGUCCCGACUUUGGAGCUCAACUUCCAGACCUUGGAUUCAGUUCUCAGCCAUUUAGGACCUCAAUUUCUUUGUUCUUUUCUUUUCUUCUUUCUUUUUUUUUCUUCCCCCCUCCCCCCACUUUUUAGGGCCACACCCAUGCCAUAUGAAAGUUUCCAGGCUUGAGGUUGAAUCCGAGCUAUACCUUCACCAUAGCUCACAGCAAUGCUGGAUCUUUAACUCACUGAGCAAGGUCAGAGAUCGAACCCACAUCCUCGUGGAUCCUAGUCGGGUUCAUUAACCACUGAGCCACAAAGGGAACUCCCCUAGGGCCUCAAUUUCUAAAUUGGAAAAAAAAAGGUAGAUCAUUCCACAAAAUUUUUUUCAGCAAUUCUAUGAUUUUUUUUUUCAAAAAUCCCACAAACCUUAAAUUCAUUGUAAUUACAAUAUAGAAGUGCCCACUUUUGUUCAAUUUUGAUGGAUAUUAAAUAAGGUACCAAAGAAAUACUUUCUUGACUUCCAGGAGUUUACAAUCUCAUUGGAGAAAUAAACCACAGGAUAUGUUAAGUUGCCAAAAUAUGUGUAAUAAGCAAUAAAAAUGCUUAGGAGGUAAAUGAGCUAUUUUCACAAUCCUUUCAGAACUCUCUGAUCUUGUGUGUCUUUAAUUGCUGAACUGUGUAUCAUAGUUUCUUCUCCAAGGAAUUUCUUCUACAGUGUCCAGCUUACCAUUGCUUUCCUCAUUAUCUUGAUUAGCUAAUACUGCCGCUUUAUUAACAUUCUUAUAAGAGAGUGCCAAGAAGCCAGCUUAUAUCUGUAGUAUCUAGGAAGAAGCCAGCAUUUACCAACAAGCUCUCUAAGGCUAGUGACUAAUGAAUUUCAAAGGUGAAGGACUCAGACUAAACAAUAUUUAAAAGGAACGUUGCUUAAAUCUCAAGUAGGCCAAGUAUAAAGCACCCUUUCGAGACACUUUUUUUUCCUCUUUGCUUUGAACCUUUAUUGAUUUGUCUGGUAAACGUCUCAGCCACAAUAUGUUCUUCUGGCUCUUGUUUGCUUCUCUUUCUUACUGACCAUUCUGCAGUCUACUUGUCAAGGUUUUGGGUGAGCCAUGUAGGGAUUCUUAAUGCUUCUUUGUUAUGUAAAUUUAAAAGUCAUUGUGGCCCAAUGUUUUACCCUCUGUAAAUGCCAGUUUCCUAAUAUUUGUUUGUCUUGUUGUUCCUAUAAUAUUCAGGAAAAAAACAAAAGAGCCCUUAGUAAGGGGUUUUAAGAGAUACUUCUGCAAACUGACAGAUAACAGUAGUUCUCUGCUAAACUGCUGUAUUUCAAAACUGAUUUUGAUGCCAAAUCAGAAGAGCAUUAAAUGUAUUUUGUUGGCUUCAGGGGUCAUCCUGACUUAGAGCAGGCAGCUUUGUCAUGAGUGGGCUCUCUGGAAAGUGCAUUUAUUCAUUCUUUACAAAGAAAUUAUCUUUCUAAUUAGGAUAGGUCUUGAACCUUUCUUGCUUAUCCGGCCAGGGAUUCCAAGCAGAGUCUGGAAAAAUAUGAUACAUCACAAUAUUUGAUCAAGUAUGAAAUGCAUUCACUAAAAGCAAAAUACCACAUUGGUGGAGAGAAUUUUACACCUAUUGUAUUGGUCAAGGAAACCACGCAUAUAAACACAUGCACGUUCCCCGCUCCACUUUUCUUUUAAUGUUUAUAGAAAAAUUUCUUGAGUGCACUUUUCAAGACAAGAGAAAACAUCCAUCAGUAUUUUGGGUUUUAGUCUCGACAAAAUACAGUGCUCUCUAAGCACUUCAGUAUUAAGGGGUAUUUCCGUAGAUCUUUUUGACCGUUGUUCUUUUCGUUCUUGGUAAACUCUUCCUCAGUAGAGUCAGUGAGAAAUAGAAAACCUAUAUCAACACCACCAAUCUUUUUCAUCCCCGUUUUGAAAAGCAGGAGGCUAUUUAUUAUGCAUUAUAAGAUGGGUUUGAUUUCUAGGGAAACCGACAAAUAAUAUGCUUAUUUCAUACCAAACCCUGCUAGCUUUAAUUUUGCAUAUAUUGAAAUGUCAUAAAAGUGCACUUUUGAUUAUUGAUAGAAAGGAGAUGGGAACCCAGUAAAUUGUGUAAUUAUCAGACCCAAGGUACAUAUACAUCUGUCUGAACACCAGAUCUUCUCGUUAGCCUCUUUGCAGACGUGGUGUGAUUUCUAGAGGAGGUCUUUGUUUUGAAUCUACCUGGUUGUGAACUGAGUAGCAACUAAAUCUCUUUUAAGGAUGUAAAUGUUAAUUCCCUUAAUCCUUAAGUAAUAUGGUCUUAACAUUAAGAAUUCUUAAAGUAACUAAUAAGUUAACGUUUUCUCCUCAAAAAGACAAAAGGUAAUAAGGUAGCAUUUAUUGCAAUGUGUAUUUGGGUUGGCAACAGGUAGAAAGUGAAAAUCCAACUGCCAAUUAACGAACUCUUUCACAGUUCACUUCAGUUGGAAAAAAUAAAUUUAAAAAAGAGAGUUUUAAAGAAAAUAUUCAUUUGGAAGAAGUUGGUUAUUUGGCCAUCUGCAUUUUUAACUGUGUAUGACUUUCUAUUUGAAAUCUCACUAAAUCUCCUUAGCUCGUGACAGACAUAAUGAAAUGUUCUGCAAAACUGAUGCAUACAUCUUACCUUGUAGAAAGAUGCAAACAAUGUGUGUUACACUCUCAGAGUCUCCACUUAUUUAGAAUGACAAUCUUGAAGGUAUAGUCAGAAAUAUCCAUAAUACUCAUCAAUUCCAAGAAGAAUGGAAUCAGCGUCCCAGGGCUCUUGAAGAGGUUACUGGUUUUUUCUCAGGACAUGAUCCAGGAAAACUGGGAGGGCUCAAUAUUGCAGUAGUUCGUAUAAGCUAUAUUGAAGGACUCCAGACCACCUGCUGAUGGGGAAGACACUGAACGCUUACCUGAAGCAGUUGACCUUUCUUAAUAUUUGAAGAACGCGGGCCUUUUGAUUUUUGUUUUCAUAUAUUUUUCCCAAAUAAUCAGUCUCAAAGCUAGGUUUAAAAGCAGAUUGUUCCCGCUAUGGCCAAAUCUGAAAUGAAGCAAGAAGGCAUCCUUUUGAUCUCUUAGGAGCAAACACUGUUUGCAGAUAAUACACAACAAGAGCAUUCCUCUUUGUGGGCCAUGCAGUUUGAUUACGGACCAGGGGAAUUUGGGUUUGGCAAAAGAGAUAAAUAAAUAAAUAAAUAAAUGUGAGUCUCCUAUACGCUUUGGAACACAUACCUUUAAAUACGGCAAGAUAACGAUUUGUAUAGCGUUGUUAUAUAAGGCAUUUCUUGUCUUCUGUUGGUUUCAUGUGACGAAUUCCAGUUGAUAAGCCCCAGACUCUGGAGUCACUUGUCUGGCGAGUUAUUAAGAUUAAGAUAAGUGCUAAGAACGAAAGAUACAGUGCUUUGUACUAGCUUUAUGCGAUUGGGCCACCUAGGAUUCUGAGUGUAAACAAUGAGUUACUUCACCCUCUUUCAAACCCAAGGUGAACACUGGAAGUAUCUAUUGGGGAGAUGUGAUGGAAGCAGAGUAUGAAGAUUAUUUUUAAUAAAAAAAUAGUUUUCAAAUUACCCCAAACCUGAAAAUGUGUAUAAAGGUAGCAAUAUGUUUAUAGAAAAGAGAUUUACUGCCUAAUUUGCCUUGUUACACUGGUAUUCAGAAAGAAAGAGAUAAUUAAUGGGUUCUAGUUAGUCGUAUCAGAAAGGCAUUUAUUUCAUCCUUAUAAAAAUAUGCCUAGAGGAUAAAAAAAAAUAUAAGACGGUGAAGUGCAUUUAGGGGAAUUUAAGAUGAAAGAUAUAUUUGUCAAAAAUAUAUUCCUAAUGCAUGGUCAAAGCUAAUAUUGCCUAUUAAAUGCUUCUCACUAGUUUCUCAGAGUGAAAAAAAGUGUAUGCACUGUUCCUUAAGGCUGAUGGAAGGUUCCAGAGGCACACCAAACAGAGACCAGUAUUUUCUGAAGUUCAGUCAAUGACUCACACUAAAUAUAGUAAAUAUGAGCUGUGCUGUAAAUUGGUGAGCAGCAUUUCCAGCACAGCCAAGUUUAAGUGUCGCUGAGAUCGCUGGAGGAGUGAUAGAAAGGGGUAAUUUAGCAGGCACACCAUAGCAACCUGCUGCGCGGCGGAGAGCGCUGGGUAGCUAUUAAUUUUUGUUAAUGAAUUUAAAACUAGAUGUAUGGAAAUGGUUCUAUGAAAUGUAUACACUGCUAAACAGUUAACUAGUCCUUAGGGCUUAAGUUUAAUUAUCUGUGUGUAAAUCACUUUGAGCAGGGCAAUCUAAUGAGUCAAAGAAAAAAAAAAAAGGCGAGAAACUCCUAUCUGGUUCUGUAAUGACUACUGAGCACAACAAGUCAGCUCCUCCAACCCACAGGUAGAGAAGCAGUUCACGUAGGGGUGGAAGGCAGGGUCCUUGGUCGCCCUUUCCAGGGCUGCGAGGUUCCCUGCCUUGGCUGUUCCAGAACCGUGUCUAGCAGAGGGGAUGGCCAGGUGGACGCUAGGUCCGUCUCAUCUGGGGGUUCUCAACCGGGGUGAUUUUGCCCCCCUGGGGAUAUUUGGCAAUGUCUGGGGCCAUUUUUUUUUUUGUCACAACUGGGCAGCCGCCACUGGUUUCUUCGGGGUAGCGGUCAGGGACACUGCCAAGCAUCCUGCAAUGCACAGGGCAGCCCCUACAACACAAAAGUAUCCAGCCCCAAAUCUCAGUGGUGCUGAGGUUGAGAAAUGCUGUCCUACUUCAGCUUCUGAACAGCAUUUAUAUAUGAGAUAUAGAUAUAUGUAUUUUUUUUUUUUUAAUGUAAGAGUUCCCACUGUGGGGCAGUGGAUUAAUGAUCCAUCUUGGCUCUAUGGUGUUGCCGGUUCAAUCCCUGGCCUAGAGCAUUGGGUUAAGGAUCCAGCAUUACUGCUGCUGUGGUGUAGGUCACGUAUGUGGCUCAGAUUUAAUCCCUGGCCCAAGAACUUCCAUGGGGCACAGGUGCAACUGAGAAAGAAAAAA
rnacentral:lncRNA from 1 species